AUUGAACGCUGGCGGCAUGCUUUACACAUGCAAGUCGAACGGUAACAGGCCGCAAGGUGCUGACGAGUGGCGAACGGGUGAGUAAUGCAUCGGAACGUGCCCAGUCGUGGGGGAUAACGCAGCGAAAGCUGCGCUAAUACCGCAUACGUUCUAUGGAUGAAAGCGGGGGACCGUAAGGCCUCGCGCGAUUGGCGCGGCCGAUGUCAGAUUAGGUAGUUGGUGGGGUAAAGGCUCACCAAGCCAACGAUCUGUAGCUGGUCUGAGAGGACGACCAGCCACACUGGGACUGAGACACGGCCCAGACUCCUACGGGAGGCAGCAGUGGGGAAUUUUGGACAAUGGGCGCAAGCCUGAUCCAGCAAUGCCGCGUGCAGGAAGAAGGCCUUCGGGUUGUAAACUGCUUUUGUACGGAGCGAAAAGGCUUCCACUAAUACUGGGGGCUCAUGACGGUACCGUAAGAAUAAGCACCGGCUAACUACGUGCCAGCAGCCGCAGUAAAAC
rnacentral:rRNA from 1 species